GCAGUAGCCGCGGUAAAACGAAGGGGGCUAGCGAUGCUCGGAAUCACUGGGCGUAAAGGGUGCGUAGGCGGGUCUUUAAGUCAGGGGUGAAAUCCUGGAGCCCAACUCCAGAACUGCCUUUGAUACUGAAGAUCUUGAGUUCGGGAGAGGUGAGUGGAACUGCGGGUGUAGAGGUGAAAUUCGUAGAUAUUCGGAGGAACACCAGUGGCGAAGGCGGCUCACUGGUCCAUUACUGACGCUGAGGUGCGAAAGCGUGGGGAGCAAACAGGAUUAGAUACCCCGGUAGUCCCUGUCUCUUAUAC
rnacentral:rRNA from 1 species